AAUUUGUUUAUUUAAGGAUCUAUUUUGUGCAAGGUCUUCUGACUCAUGCUUACUCAGUGACAAAAGGACCAAUUUACCCUCAAGUGCUUGUCCCUCAUUCGGCAUACAAGGCUAGUAAAAGAUGUUUGCAUGUGCAGACCCUGCAGUAAAAACUCAAGACGGCAUCAUUAUCUAAACCUUUCAUUUUGUUGUCUAUGAAAUGAAACUGUGGAACUUCAGGAACCUGCCUCAGCUCCAAGCUAGAGACAAAGACAAGGCUUCUGGUAUGAUCCAGUGGGUGGCCAAACACUCAACAUCACAAGUAGAAAUGUGAACACAAGGAAAGAAACAAAAAGGCUAAAUGACGAGGAAAGAAUUAUAGGAGAGAAGAAAUAGAUGUUGGAAGAAGAGAAAAGUAGAAGGUUCAGAAAUGUAACAGCAAAACUCUUAAUGUGGCUUGAUUUGUAUUUCCUAGACAAAAACACCCAGCGUGUCUUUUUAUGCAAACCUGGCUAUGUUUAAAAUAUGUCUCAGGAGUACAAGCAAGA